UACAGUGAUGCUUCAGAAACUGUGGACCCU
rnacentral:piRNA from 1 species